rnacentral:rRNA from 1 species
AAUCAACGCUGGCGGCGUGCCUAACACAUGCAAGUCGAACGCGAAAGUCCCGCAAGGGAUUAGUAGAGUGGCAAACGGGUGAGUAACACGUGGGUGACCUGCCUUCGAGCGGGGGAUAACGUCCCGAAAGGGACGCUAAUACCGCAUAACAUCCUGCCUUUUAAGAGGUGGAGAUCAAAGCCGGGGAUCGCAAGACCUGGCACUUGAAGAGGGGCCCGCGCCUGAUUAGCUAGUUGGGAGGUAACGGCUCACCAAGGCGACGAUCAGUAGCUGGUCUGAGAGGAUGAUCAGCCACAUUGGGACUGAGACACGGCCCAAACUCCUACGGGAGGCAGCAGUGGGGAAUAUUGGACAAUGGGCGCAAGCCUGAUCCAGCCAUGCCGCGUGAGUGAUGAAGGCCCUAGGGUUGUAAAGCUUCUUUUGUGCGGGAAGAUAAUGACGGUACCGCAAGAAUAAGCCCCGGCUAAC